ACCACGACCCACUGCCUUCCCAACCAACCCAAAUUUCGGUCUACGAUCCGUCCGAAACCUAGAAAUAGUUUCUGCCCAAGUGCAUAUGAUAUCCAACGGCCCCAACCUGAAGCACUGUAGCAUCGGAGAUCGUUGAGUACGCCAUCUAGUCCAUAAUCCACACUCCCAUUUCUUGGCUUCCUGAUCAUUAUCAACAACGUCAAGAGCCUAUCGGAGGGUCCGAUCAAGGAGAAGCACUUCAAGAAGAUUGUCGAGCUAGGAGACAUGCGGGAAGCUUGUUGAUCUUAUAGAAUCUAGGAUUUGCAAAAAGGCUUACCUUCUGGAUUACACUAAGCACACCGGCAGUAUUGCUUAAAUAAAUCAAUCGAGCAAGCAGUCUGAAGAAGACAAGUUAUAGAGUUCAUGCUGACCCAAAUAUUGGCAAGCAGUCUGAAGAAGACAAGUUACAGAGUUCAUGCUGACCCAAAUAUUGGACCAUCAGUGUGUUGCUGGUCUAAAAUUGAUGCCUAGCUGACCAACCAGAACUUGCAUCUGGAAAGCCCAAAAUAUCUUAAAAGAAAACGCCAAAUUAACCAACUAGGCUGUGCAGUCCUUAAAGAGGGUAGCUAGCCUCCAUGGCAAUGCCGCAAAUUCCUUCCUUCUC